rnacentral:rRNA from 1 species
AUACGGAGGAUCCGAGCGUUAUCCGGAUUUAUUGGGUUUAAAGGGUGCGCAGGCGGGAGAUUAAGUCGGCGGUGAAAUUUUGCAGCUCAACUGUAAAAGUGCCUUCGAAACUGGUUUCCUUGAGUGUAGAUGAAGUAGGCGGGAUUUGUGGUGUAGCGGUGAAAUGCAUAGAUAUCACUAGGAACUCCGAUUGCGCAGGCAGCUUACUAAACUACUACUGACGCUCAGGCACGAAGGCGUGGGGAUCAAACAGGAUUAGAUACCCUGGUAGUCCACGCAGUAAACGAUGAUUACUAGCUGUUUGCGAUACAAUGUAAGCGGCUGAGCGAAAGCGUUAAGUAAUCCACCUGGGGAGUACGUUCGCAAGAAUGAAACUCAAAGGAAUUGACGGGG